rnacentral:rRNA from 1 species
UGCGGUUAAAAAGCUCGUAGUUGGAUCUCGGCGGGCAGGGGGUGGUUCGCUCUUCAGCGCUACUGCCCCGCUUUGCCCGUGUGAUUGGCGGAGGUUUCGGGGUGCUCUUCGUUGAGUGACUCGGAGCGCCGUCAGGUUUACUUUGAAAAAAUUAGAGUGCUCAAAGCAGGCUUUUCACGCUUGAAUAUUCGUGCAUGGAAUAAUGGAAUAGGAACUCGUUUCUAUUUUGUUGGUUUUCGGAAAUCGAGUUAAUGAUUAACAGGGACAAUUGGGGGCAUUAGUAUUCAGACGACAGAGGUGAAAUUCUUGGACCGUCUGAAGACUGACUACUGCGAAAGCAUUUGCCAAGAGUGUUUACAUUAAUCAAGAACGAAAGUUAGAGGUUCGAAGGCGAUCAGAUACCGCCCUAGUUCUAACCAUAAACGAUGCCAGCUAGCGAUCUGCCGAGUUUUUUUUGUAGGCUCCGCAGGAAGCUUUCGGGAAACCAAAGCUUUUGGGUUCCGGGGGAAGUAUGGUUGCAAAGCUGAAACUUAAAGGAAUUGACGGAAGGGCACCACCAGGAGUGGAGCCUGCGGCUUAAUUUGACUCAACACGGGAAAUCUCACCAGGCCCGGACACUGGAAGGAUUGACAGAUUGAGAGCUCUUUCUCGAUUC